UUUAAUUCUUCCAGUUUAAGAAUCCUCCUCAGCCACAAUUCUAUCUCUCAUCUUUGGCCACAUCAUUUUUUUAAAACAACAAGUAUCAAACUUUCCUAUUUAAAGCAUGGGCCUUCAUCAUCUGAUUUUUCGAAACAUGCCAAAAACACAGCAAGCUUUAAAAUUAUUUGUGCUCUUUUCUCUGCACAAGGUAAUUUUAUUAUUUCUGUAAAUUUUUCAUUCUUCUCCAGUUCACUACUGUAUCCCAUAUUUUGUGCAGAGAUAAUUUUUAAUAAUCUUUAAACUCUCACAAUUUUACUCUCAAAUUCCAAAAUCCCCAACAUCUUCAAUUCAAAAGCAAACAGAAGAUUCAAAAGCAAACUUUGAUCAGCAAGCCAAAUUUGAUUUCCACAGCAGCAAAUUUUGAAGCAGCAAACUUUGAAGCAGCAAAACUUUGAAUGAUUUCUUUCUUUCACACGUUUAUGUUCAAACAAGUAAAUUCAAUCUAUUUAAACCUCAUUUAUCAUCCUCAAAUUCACAAAUCAACUCAUCCUCAAAUUCACAAAUCCAACAAAAAACUCAACUUUUAUAAUCCAUCCGGUUUUCUUCAACUGCACAAUUUCAACUGGUAAACUUUAUUUUUCCGCAAAGUUUUCAUGAUUUAAUUUCAUUUUCAUAUGCAAAAACACAAGUGCAUAUAGACACCUCAAUUCUUAAAAAAAUCAAAUCUCCAAUAUUCAUUGUUUUGCUGAAAAGAAAAUACAAUAGAUUGAAAGAGAAAUAGUAGCUUAGAAUUUAGACAGGAGAUAGAAGAGAGGGAAAACGGUUGAGCAGCAAUACCGCCGGAUCCGACGGAGGUGGAGACAGGGGCAGCGGCGCUAGGUCUCGGCGUUCUGGUCGGACAGAGGAAGGAGGCGGCUGGGCGGCGCCGCUGUCGACGCAGGGGCGGCGAUGGUGGUGCUGCUGUUGGCCAGGAGAGAAAUAGACGGUGAAGGCGACGCCGGGCAGGAGACGGUGGCGGCAGGGGUCGCCGGAGAAGAGGGGCGCAGGUGCGGCUGGUGCGGUGAGGACAAGGGCAGGGGAGGAGGAAGAGGGCGAGAAGUGAGGGGUGAGAAGGAGAUAGGAAGAAGGGGGAAGGGAAAGGAGGCAGAACCGCCGGCCGACGGGGCGAUGGCGUUGCCGCCUGGUGGUGGCGGAAGGGGAAGACCGAGGGAGAGAAGGGUAGAGGGAGAGACUGAGAGGGUGCGCUGGUGUGUGAGUAUGUGUGUGAGGGUGUGCGUGUGUGUAGUGAAUUAGAGAGAGAUAGCAAAAUUUAAUGGAGAAGAAUGGGUGUUGGGCUAUUUGCAUAAAUGGGCUUAAGUUUAGCCUUGUUUUAAUUAAAGGGAAAUGAUGUUGGAUUUUAAGUCUUGGACUUAAGUUCUAUUUUGUUAAUGGAUUGAUCUACUGCAUUAAUAUAUUUACGUAACUGAACUUGGUUUUAAAUUAGAAAAUUAGCUACUUUUCCUAAAGAAAAUGAUCUUUAAGUAUUUUUAUUAUUAUUCUACUUUAUUAAUUAAAUCAAUGGCUUAUAAAAUAAAUUCUUAAGUUUCAAGUUAUAUUUUUUAGUAAAUUUAAUUAGGCCUUUAUGUUUAUUAUUUGAAUUUAUCUGACUAGGUGCGGCGCGACUAGGACGUUACUUUUGAUUGAAUUACUCAAGUUAGCUUUCAAAGCUCAAGUUCCAGGUGUGGGAUUUAUUUCAGUACAUGCACGUGGUUAAUAUUUGUCCAUUUUAAUAUUAUGUGUUUACCGUAUGUGUUGUAAAAAUAUUUAUCGCUAGGGGCCAGCAUAAUUGGUCCAGGACUUCACCGUCCUUGGUAUGCCACAAUGCGAUUUCAUGUUACAGGGUUGCAACCAUUAUAUUGUCGCCAGGGAUCCAUAUAUAGGGUCCGGGACAUUAAAGUCCUUGGAGUUGCCACAGUGCGUAUGGAAGUUAUGUUACGUUAUGACAAUAUGUGUUACCAUUUUAUUAACAUGGACAAUUAUUGCAUGUUCCCACACUGAGUGUACCCUGUAUGCUCAUCCCAUAUUCAACAGUUUCAGGUGAUUGAUAUUGGAGGCGCGUGGAGAGUCGAAUGGGCGCGUCACAUCUAUUUUAAAAAUAAAUGUUUCUUAAAACAUAUUAUGUUAUUUCAUGUGAUAUCUUUUGGUUAUGUAAACUCUGAAAUUCUAUACUAUUUGAGAUUUGUGUGUGAUUUAUUUAAAUAAAUGUUGUUAUAUUAUUUUAAUGUCAUGACUUGUUUAAUUUAUAUUUAAAUUCAUUUCAAAUAUUUAUUUAAGAAUUUAUAUCUUUACGAAAAUAUAUACAUGGAUACAUACAUAAUUUUUAAUCAUAUAAAGAUUUUAUUUUGUUAUAUUUUCCGCUGCUAAAAAGAUAUUAUUUUAUAUUUAGAGUUUUUCCUUAGUACAAGUUUUAUUAAUUAGUUAAUUAUUUUUCUGACAUCUUCAUGUCGUGCUUUGAAAAUAAAGUUGUUAAAUUUAUGAUUUAAAAAUCAAGAUUUAUAUUUGAAUACAUUAUUGAAAAUUUUGAUAUCUUAUAAAUCGUUUUAAAAGUGCUUUAAAAACCAAUUUUAUUUAAAGAUUUCUUUUUCUUAAAAUUAUUUUCAAAAAUAUUUAUUUUAAAAGUGAGUUUUAAAUUAUUUUAAAAGACUUCCGCAUUAAAUAUUUAUUUAAAUUUUAUAUUUAACUCCUUAAUUAGAUUAGGGUGUUACAGCAUGGUAUCAGAGCAGGUCUACUUUCCUGUAGACUCUGCAAAAUAUUUUACAUAAAAUUCUUAAAUGUCAUGUGUGAGAAAAUCCAUUCGACCUCUACGUGCUCCGACUUCAAGGUAAAUGUAUUUUAAAAGUAUUUCAAAAUAUUUUUAUAGGGAUGAGUAUAAAUUGUUUACGUUGAAAGUAUGUUGAAAUUUGCUGCAAUAAUUGAAGUUAUUAUCAGAAAGUUCAAGUUCAUUAUGCAAGUUAUUAUGAGAAAGUUCAGUAUUCAAAUUAUAUGUUGAAGAUUAUUGCAGCUAUGAGUAAAGAUAUUUCAAAUAUUUUUCAAGAUGAGUAUAAAUUAUUUACGUUGAAAGUAUGUUGAAAUUUGCUGCAAUGAUUGAAGUUAUUAUCAGAAAGUUCAAGUUCAUUAUGCAAGUUAUUAUGAGAAAGUGCAGUAUUCAAGUUAUUAUGCUGAAGAUUAUUGCAGCUAUGAAUUGUCAAAUUUCGAGGACGAAAUUCUUUUAAGUGGGUAGGUUUGUCACAGCCCAAAACCGUUUACUACCUUUGCAAAUUUUAUUUGAAAAUUUUUAUAUUUUCGAGAUAUUAAAAAUAUAAAUCUAUGAGUCGAGUUUGUGGAGAAUUAUCUAGUCGCGCCCCUAGCUAGAUGUAUGACUCUAAAUUCUAGGUUAUACCUAUAGAAAUAAAGUUUUAUAUUCCAAAAAUAUUUUUAUAUAAAUUUGGGCCUAAAUAAAUUUAUUUACUUAAAUAUAUUUAUCAUGGACAUUAUAUUAAUUUUGGAUUAAGAAUAAAAUAUUUUCAUAAAUUUUGUUAGUGUUGGGCUUAUUGUUAUUAAUGUGCCAAAUUCUUUUGCAAUGAUCCUAAAACAAUUAUUCAAGUUUCAACAUUUAUAGUUUAUUAAUGAUUUCAAGGAUUUGGAUACCUUAUUUUCGUAUCUGCAAAUUAACAAUUUCUACUCUAUUUAUUUACAUUUGUUUAAAGAAGUCUCCAAGCCAGCCAUUCCUAUUUUUAUUCUUAUCAGAUAUCUAACCGCCCUAAUUAGAUAAAUGAUUUUGAACUAUAGAUUAUAUUUAUAAAAAGAUACAAAUUUAUAUUAUCAAAUAUUUUUAUUAAAUUGUUGGGCCUUAUAUUUAAAGUAUUUAUAUAAUUCUUAUUUAAUACUAGGCCUUUUAUUAUUGUCCAAAUUUUAUGAUGCACCUAAAAUAGUUAUUAAGUUAAAAUAUUUAUAACUUAUCAACUAAAAGAAUAAGAAUUUGCUUGUGCAGACUCCAAUCCAUAUUCCAUAUUUUAUUCUCAAUUCUAUUUGUAUUUAAAUAUUCAAUUCAAUCUCUCCAUCCUUUUUCCUCUGAAACUUAUAAAACACAAAACACGAUUCGAUUUCCUCCUUAGCCACACAUAUCAGUAUUCGCAGUAUUUGACAAACAUCACAGCAUGCCAAACUUGAAUUAAAUUUCCUUUCCGUAAGAUUUGAUUUUCUUCCACAAGCAGCAAAUUUUUGAUUUCUUUCACAUUCAAAUCUUUGACGAACGAGUAAAUUCAAUCUAUUUAAACCUCAUUGUAUCAUCCUCAAAAUUCACAAAUCCAACAAAAACUCAACUUUUAUAAUCCAUCCGGUUUUCUUCAACUGCACAAUUUCAACUGGUAAACUUUAUUUUUCCGCAAAGUUUUCAUGAUUUAAUUUCAUUUUCAUAUGCAAAGAUCUCUGCUUUCUUUCAAUUUACAGAAAACAACCAAA
rnacentral:lncRNA from 1 species